GUAUCUAAUACCCAGAUAGUAGUAUCACAAAUAGAGAAAUUACAAGGUGUUAUCAUAUAAAUACCUUAUGAAACAACCACUUGCCUCUUUCUCUUAUUCUUAGGCCCGUUUGGGUCAAGGGUGGCUAUAUAAGUAGGACAAUUUCUUUUUCACUGACCCAGCUUCUUACAGAAGAAGCACUCUGCCUGGCUCUUGUCAACUUUUGAUGGUUUGCUCUGCUCG
rnacentral:lncRNA from 1 species